GGUUAAGUUAGAAAGGGCGCACGGUGGAUGCCUUGACACUAGGAGUCGAUGAAGGACGGGACUAACGCCGAUAUGCUUCGGGGAGCUGUAAGUAAGCUUUGAUCCGAAGAUUUCCGAAUGGGGAAACCCACCAUACGUAAUGGUAUGGUAUCCUUAUCUGAAUACAUAGGGUAAGGAAGACAGACUCAGGGAACUGAAACAUCUAAGUACCUGGAGGAAGAGAAAGCAAAUGCGAUUUCCUGAGUAGCGGCGAGCGAAACGGAACAUAGCCCAAACCAAGAGGCUUGCCUCUUGGGGUUGUAGGACAUUCUAUACGGAGUUACAAAGGAACGAGGUAGACGAAGCGACCUGGAAAGGUCCGUCGUAGAGGGUAACAACCCCGUAGUCGAAACUUCGUUCUCUCUUGAAUGUAUCCUGAGUACGGCGGAACACGUGAAAUUCCGUCGGAAUCUGGGAGGACCAUCUCCCAAGGCUAAAUACUCCCUAGUGAUCGAUAGUGAACCAGUACCGUGAGGGAAAGGUGAAAAGCACCCCGGAAGGGGAGUGAAAGAGAUCCUGAAACCGUGUGCCUACAAAUAGUCAGAGCCCGUUAACGGGUGAUGGCGUGCCUUUUGUAGAAUGAACCGGCGAGUUACGAUCCCGUGCGAGGUUAAGCUGAAGAGGCGGAGCCGCAGCGAAAGCGAGUCUGAAUAGGGCGUUUAGUACGUGGUCGUAGACCCGAAACCAGGUGAUCUACCCAUGUCCAGGGUGAAGUUCAGGUAACACUGAAUGGAGGCCCGAACCCACGCACGUUGAAAAGUGCGGGGAUGAGGUGUGGGUAGCGGAGAAAUUCCAAUCGAACCUGGAGAUAGCUGGUUCUCCCCGAAAUAGCUUUAGGGCUAGCCUUAAGUGUAAGAGUCUUGGAGGUAGAGCACUGAUUGGACUAGGGGUCCUCAUCGGAUUACCGAAUUCAGUCAAACUCCGAAUGCCAAUGACUUAUCCUUAGGAGUCAGACUGCGAGUGAUAAGAUCCGUAGUCAAAAGGGAAACAGCCCAGACCGCCAGCUAAGGUCCCAAAGUGUGUAUUAAGUGGAAAAGGAUGUGGAGUUGCUUAGACAACUAGGAUGUUGGCUUAGAAGCAGCCACCAUUUAAAGAGUGCGUAAUAGCUCACUAGUCGAGUGACUCUGCGCCGAAAAUGUACCGGGGCUAAAUACACCACCGAAGCUGCGGAUUGAUACCAAUGGUAUCAGUGGUAGGGGAGCGUUCUAAGGACAGUGAAGUCAGACCGUAAGGACUGGUGGAGUGCUUAGAAGUGAGAAUGCCGGUAUGAGUAGCGAAAGACGGGUGAGAAUCCCGUCCACCGAAUGCCUAAGGUUUCCUGAGGAAGGCUCGUCCGCUCAGGGUUAGUCAGGACCUAAGCCGAGGCCGACAGGCGUAGGCGAUGGACAACAGGUUGAUAUUCCUGUACCACCUCUUUAUCGUUUGAGCAAUGGAGGGACGCAGAAGGAUAGAAGAAGCGUGCGAUUGGUUGUGCACGUCCAAGCAGUUAGGCUGAUAAGUAGGCAAAUCCGCUUAUCGUGAAGGCUGAGCUGUGAUGGGGAAGCUCCUUAUGGAGCGAAGUCUUUGAUUCCCCGCUGCCAAGAAAAGCUUCUAGCGAGAUAAAAGGUGCCUGUACCGCAAACCGACACAGGUAGGCGAGGAGAGAAUCCUAAGGUGUGCGAGAGAACUCUGGUUAAGGAACUCGGCAAAAUGACCCCGUAACUUCGGGAGAAGGGGUGCUUUCUUAACGGAAAGCCGCAGUGAAUAGGCCCAAGCGACUGUUUAGCAAAAACACAGCUCUCUGCGAAGCCGUAAGGCGAAGUAUAGGGGGUGACACCUGCCCGGUGCUGGAAGGUUAAGGAGAGGGGUUAGCGUAAGCGAAGCUCUGAACUGAAGCCCCAGUAAACGGCGGCCGUAACUAUAACGGUCCUAAGGUAGCGAAAUUCCUUGUCGGGUAAGUUCCGACCCGCACGAAAGGUGUAACGAUUUGGGCACUGUCUCAACCAGAGACUCGGUGAAAUUAUAGUACCUGUGAAGAUGCAGGUUACCCGCGACAGGACGGAAAGACCCCGUGGAGCUUUACUGUAGCCUGAUAUUGAAUUUUGGUACAGUUUGUACAGGAUAGGCGGGAGCCAUUGAAACCGGAGCGCUAGCUUCGGUGGAGGCGCUGGUGGGAUACCGCCCUGACUGUAUUGAAAUUCUAACCUACGGGUCUUAUCGACCCGGGAGACAGUGUCAGGUGGGCAGUUUGACUGGGGCGGUCGCCUCCUAAAGUGUAACGGAGGCGCCCAAAGGUUCCCUCAGAAUGGUUGGAAAUCAUUCGUAGAGUGCAAAGGCAUAAGGGAGCUUGACUGCGAGACCUACAAGUCGAGCAGGGACGAAAGUCGGGCUUAGUGAUCCGGUGGUUCCGCAUGGAAGGGCCAUCGCUCAACGGAUAAAAGCUACCCCGGGGAUAACAGGCUUAUCUCCCCCAAGAGUCCACAUCGACGGGGAGGUUUGGCACCUCGAUGUCGGCUCAUCGCAUCCUGGGGCUGUAGUCGGUCCCAAGGGUUGGGCUGUUCGCCCAUUAAAGCGGUACGCGAGCUGGGUUCAGAACGUCGUGAGACAGUUCGGUCCCUAUCCGUCGUGGGCGUAGGAAAUUUGAGAGGAGCUGUCCUUAGUACGAGAGGACCGGGAUGGACGCACCGCUGGUGUACCAGUUGUUCUGCCAAGGGCAUAGCUGGGUAGCUAUGUGCGGAAGGGAUAAGUGCUGAAAGCAUCUAAGCAUGAAGCCCCCCUCAAGAUGAGAUUUCCCAUAGCGUAAGCUAGUAAGAUCCCUGAAAGAUGAUCAGGUUGAUAGGUUCGAGGUGGAAGCAUGGUGACAUGUGGAGCUGACGAAUACUAAUAGAUCGAGGACUUAACCAU
rnacentral:rRNA from 1 species